rnacentral:rRNA from 1 species
AGUGAACGCUGGCGGUAGGCCUAACACAUGCAAGUCGAACGGCAGCACAGUAAGAGCUUGCUCUUACGGGUGGCGAGUGGCGGACGGGUGAGGAAUACAUCGGAAUCUACUUUUUCGGGGGGGAUAACGUAGGGAAACUUACGCUAAUACCGCGUACGACCUAGGGGUGAAAGCAGGGGAUCUUCGGACCUUGCGCGAUUGAAUGAGCCGCUGUCGGAUUAGCUAGUUGGCGGGGUAAAGGCCCACCAAGGCGACGAUCCGUAGCUGGUCUGAGAGGAUGAUCAGCCACACUGGAGCUGGGACACGGUCCAGACUCCUACGGGAGGCAGCAGUGUGGAAUAUUGGACAAUGGGCGCAAGCCUGAUCCAGCCAUACCGCGUGUGUGAAGAAGGCCUUCGGGUUGUAAAGCCCUUUUGUUGGGAAAGAACAGCAGCAGGUUAAUACCCCGCUGUUCUGACGGUACCCAAAGAAUAAACACCGGCUAACUUCGUG